UGUCUGAUUGACAAGUUACUAUCUUUUUAGUCAAAGUUUGCCCAAGAAGUUAGGAGAACUCAAGAUACUCUUAGCCUUGGGUCAGUCAUCCAAUCCAUUAGGAUAGAAGACUAACACUGACUUAGGGAGGCCAAAAAGAAUCAAUUGUAAGCUAAAAAGUUAACUGAGGUUGAUUCUCAAGAUCAAAACCAUAAUUUUAUGGGC
rnacentral:lncRNA from 1 species